rnacentral:rRNA from 1 species
UACGUAGGGUGCGAGCGUUGUCCGGAAUUAUUGGGCGUAAAGAGCGUGUAGGCGGCCUGGAAGGUCAGCUGUGAAAACUCGAGGCUCAACCUCGAGACGUCGGUUGAAACCACCUGGCUAGAGUCCGGAAGAGGAGAGUGGAAUUCCCGGUGUAGCGGUGAAAUGCGCAGAUAUCGGGAAGAACACCCGUGGCGAAGGCGGCUCUCUGGGACGGUACUGACGCUGAGACGCGAAAGCGUGGGGAGCGAACAGG